GUGGGGAAUAUUGGACAAUGGGCGAAAGCCUGAUCCAGCCAUGCCGCGUGUGUGAAGAAGGUCUUCGGAUUGUAAAGCACUUUAAGUUGGGAGGAAGGGCAGUAAGUUAAUACCUUGCUGUUUUGACGUUACCGACAGAAUAAGCACCGGCUAACUUCGUGCCAGCAGCCGCGGUAAUACGAAGGGUGCAAGCGUUAAUCGGAAUUACUGGGCGUAAAGCGCGCGUAGGUGGUUUGGUAAGUUGGAGGUGAAAUCCCCGGGCUCAACCUGGGAACUGCCUCCAAAACUGCAUGACUAGAGUACGGUAGAGGGGAGUGGAAUUUCCUGUGUAGCGGUGAAAUGCGUAGAUAUAGGAAGGAACACCAGUGGCGAAGGCGACUACCUGGACUGAUACUGACACUGAGGUGCGAAAGCGUGGGGAGCAAACAGGAUUAGAAACCCUAGUAGUCC
rnacentral:rRNA from 1 species